GACAGAGGGGGCAAGCGUUGCUCGGAAUUACUGGGCGUAAAGGGCGCGUAGGCGGGAUGGCAAGUCGGUCGUGAAAUCCCUCGGCUCAACUGAGGAUCGUCGAUCGAUACUGCCGUUCUUGAGGAUUGCAGAGGAGACUGGAAUUCCCGGUGUAGCGGUGAAAUGUGUAGAGAUCGGGAAGAACGCCGGCGGCGAAAGCGACUCUCUGGUCGGAUCCUGACGCUGAGGUGCGAAAGCUAGGGGAGCAAACGGG
rnacentral:rRNA from 1 species